rnacentral:rRNA from 1 species
UACGGAGGAUGCGAGCGUUAUCCGGAUUUAUUGGGUUUAAAGGGUGCGCAGGCGGGAGAUUAAGUCGGCGGUGAAAUUUUGCAGCUCAACUGUAAAAGUGCCUUCGAAACUGGUUUCCUUGAGUGUAGAUGAAGUAGGCGGAAUUUGUGGUGUAGCGGUGAAAUGCAUAGAUAUCACGAGGAACUCCGAUUGCGCAGGCAGCUUACUAAACCAUAACUGACGCUCAGGCACGAAGGCGUGGGGAUCAAACAGGAUUAGAUACCCU